GAGAUGCAUAUAUUUUGGGUGUUCGAAAAGUUUUAAUAAAUCACUUGUAACUAAUUUCCUAAUGGAAGGAACACUAAUUACAUAAUUAAGUUAAAAGCCAACAUUUUUAAAGAAAAUUAGUAAUAAGUAAGUGUCUACACCCUCCCUCCACCUUUAUAUAUAGAUAACCGAAGAUUGUAUUAAGUGUGUGGUAAUCAUGAACAAUAAAUAUUUUAGGUUGUUUUUAAUUUUGCUCAUUCUCCUUCCUUCUAAGAUGGUGAUAACAACAGAAGGAACAAGUGAAUAUGGUAUUGCCCUUUGCAAACAGAGGUGUAUUGCUAGAGGUUUUAUAUAUGGUACUGUCCCCCCGUCAAGGCCUAGUCAAUGCAUCUGUAGUAUGAAUGAAGAUUUUAACCAUUUGCUCUCUUCUCCAUUUUAUACAAAGUUUUAAAAAUAUUAACGUAGCAAUGUGAAUUUUAAUAAGUACAUUUAUUUUUAUGUAUUACAUAUGUCUCUAAUUAUAGUAAUGGAGAAGAAAAAUGGAAAGAGAAAAUGGAGAGAUCCUAUCUCCUAUAUGAGACCCUGUUAAUUAUGGUUCUUUAAUUUCUA